rnacentral:rRNA from 1 species
UGGGGAAUAUUGCACAAUGGGCGAAAGCCUGAUGCAGCGACGCCGCGUGAGGGACGACGGCCUUCGGGUUGUAAACCUCUUUCAGCAGGGACGAAGCGCAAGUGACGGUACCUGCAGAAGAAGCACCGGCUAACUACGUGCCAGCAGCCGCGGUAAUACGUAGGGUGCAAGCGUUGUCCAGGAAUUACUGGGCGUAAAUGAGGUUCGUAAGGCGGUUUGUCACGUCGUUUGUGAAAACUCACAGCUCAACUGUGAGCCUGCAGGCGAUACGGGCAGACUUGAGUACUGCAGGGGAGACUGGAAUUCCUGGUGUAGCGGUGAAAUGCGCAGAUAUCAGGAGGAACACCGGUGGCGAAGGC